AACGAACGCUGGCGGCAUGCCUAACACAUGCAAGUCGAACGAGACCUUCGGGUCUAGUGGCGCACGGGUGAGUAACGCGUGGGAACCUGCCAUUAGGUUCGGAAUAACUCCCCGAAAGGGGUGCUAAUACCGGAUAAUGUCUUCGGACCAAAGAUUUAUCGCCUUUGGAUGGGCCCGCGUUUGAUUAGCUAGUUGGUAGGGUAAAAGCCUACCAAGGCGACGAUCCAUAGCUGGUCUGAGAGGAUGAUCAGCCACACUGGGACUGAGACACGGCCCAGACCCCUACGGGAGGCCGCAGUGGGGAAUUUGGGACAAUGGGCGAAAGCCUGAGCCAGCAAGGCCGCGGAGGUUAUGAAGGGCUGAGGGUGGUAAACCUCUUUUACCCGGGAUGAUAAUGACUGUACCGGGGAAAAAAGCCCCGGCAACCCCCGG
rnacentral:rRNA from 1 species